GGGAGCGAUAGUCUCCGGAUCGACUCUAGGGCCUGAACACCGGCCGGAAGCCGAGCGACUGGGCGCAGGUGGAGUCUGCGCCUCCCUGACAACAGGUGCCAGCGUCUUUCUCUCCCGACUGAUGGAAAAGUAAGAGGCCUGGGACUUGCUAUGUAGACUUGUGUGAACUUAGAGACCUUCCUGUCUCUGCCCCCAAGAGUGCUGGACCUACCUACCUACCUGGUUGAAUUAUACUUUGGAUGAUGAAAAGAGCAGAGGAUACCAUGACAAAACCUGAUAUUGAGAUAAAAACCAGUGCUCAGCUACACAGAAUCCCAGUGUUUGGCAAGGUUGGGGCAAGAGGAUUAGGAGGCCCGGCCCAGCCCAGCCACAUAGGAAGCUCCACGUCAGCCUCCUUUACGGCAUCUGGGAUGCAGAGAGCACCAGUCCUCCCAGCACUCCGCGCUGUCCUGGAAAUGGAAAGUGAGCUGACUGUUAAGCCAAGUCCUGAAGAGAGAGACCUGAGAGCCCUCAGGAGUCUGAGGCCAGCAAAGACAGGAUCCUUUCCUGACAAUCACUGACCCGUCCACGAGGGGCUCGUCUAAUAGAAAGUAACCAAAUUCCCCUAUGAUUCCAGAGCCACUGUGAUGUCUACAUUCAUCCAUCUGUUGGUGGACAUCUUGGUUGAGCCUGUAUCUUGGCAACUGUCAAUAGUGCAGUGUUAAAAACACAGGCAUGGGGGGCUGGACAGAUGGCUCAGUGGUUAAGAUGCCAUCUCUCCCAGAGGUCCUGAGUUCAAUUCCCAGCAACAUAACCAACCAUCUGUAAUGAGAUCAGACGCCCUCUUCUGGUGUGUCUGAAGACAGAGACAGUGUACUCAUACAUAAACUAUCUAAAGAACAACAACAAAACCCCAAACAAAUCCAAUAAGCCCACAGGCAUGCAGAUACCCUUAGGGUAUGCUGACAGACUUCUUCCGAUAUACAACAGAGUGGUGGUAUAUAGCUGGGCCUGUGGGAGUUUUGUUUGUGUUGUUUUCAGGAGCCCUUACACUGAUUUCCAGUGACAUUAAGUGCUCUAUUUUAAACAAAUAGAAAAUCCCUGACCAUCCAUCCCUGUUGGAAUGGCUAAUAUAAUGUAGUACAUGCACUUCAGGCAUUCACAUUUUAUGAGACAAGUACACUGACGCUAGGAGGCCAAAAUACAGAUCAGACCCCUGCAGAUGGAGUUGCUGGAAACUAAACUUGGAUUAACUACUAAGCUAUCUCCCCAGCCCUCCAAAUCUUAACGGUCAUCUAUGUGCGACAUCCCUUAUCAAUGCGCACAAAAUAUUAUUUAAAAAUUAUUGAAACUAUCUAUGCGCCUGAAAUUGUGAGGCACUUUGGUGAGAAACAGUAAGCUGCCCCAGCUGUGUGAAUGACAUUUCCCAGCAGGCAUGGGAAAUGCCUGGGACUGGCCUGCAGAUAUUCCUGCCUGGGACCCAGAGCUCUAGGCCAUUGAAGGUGGGCAGAAACCUGUAAAUCCAACCUGAAAUGACCUUCUGCUGAAGGACUUUAACAGCACAGGGUCACCAUUCCCAACCACUUACAGUACCUCCUUCUGAGAACUUUAUUAAUAGUAAGACUGAGUUUCUCAUUGUAAGUUGUUUAUUGUAAGAUAAUUUACAAACAUCCUGCUGUCUUUGUGACUCAGUGGACCAAGUUUCUUCUAACAAGGACAGCAAUCAGUUAAAAUCAGCUGCGUUUUCCUUCUUCACCUGAAAAACAGUACAGAAAUGGGAGUCAAACAGGAAGUCCCGUGAAAAGUAAGAACACACCCUUAACGGGGCCCAGAGGCCUGCAGUUCCACAGAAGGUGCAGGUAGCUCAUAGUUCUGGUCUGGGACUCUCGGCUAUGAGGGAAACUCGUAUAUAAUAACACUGCCCUCCUCAUGGAACUCAUGGAAAUGGCUGUUUCUCCACAGGCUACAGCAGAGUGGAGAAAGGACUCUCCUAGGAGCCAGCCGUCAGGAGUCAGGACCAUAGCCUUGAGAAGCACUGCUCUCAUUAACCUAUACGUAAUACACUACAGUAAUUCAGGUUCUCAGUGCCUGAAUUUACCUCCUUGUAUCCACACCUUCCAGAACACAAAGGCUCACUAGCAACACCCACAUCUAAUUCUCGGCCUGCACCCCGUACUACCCGACCACACCCACAGUUGGCUGCACUAUAAACCAGCCUGCCCAGCUAGCCUGUCUGCUAACUAGAAAUGCUAACUAGUAACACUAACUAGUAACUGCUAGCUUUGGUGAUACCUAGCAAGGUUUCCUUGUUGAAGGCUUAGGGGAAGAGUAUAUGAACUUUACCUCUUGUCUGAGGAUGUAACUUGAUUCUCAUUAAUCCCUGGUUAUUAUAUUAAAAGAAACAAGAGCACAAAACAAGCAGGUUAGUAAGCAAUCCAUGCUAGUUAACUACAGGCUAUUUCUUUACAUGUUAUCCUGAGCAUACAAUGCAGCAAACAGUUACAAUCUUUAACAACCAUUCAACAUAUGAUGCUGUAGACUGCAAUGUAGUUAGAGGCAAUAAAAAAAUGUUCAAAUAGGCAAGACAACAUAUUUUUAUAUCUUUAAAAAUGACAUACAAUUGAAGAGAUUAAGCUGACAAUGUAAAUAUGAUUCAUUCAUUCUUUUCAUUUUAACACUAAAAGCCAGUUUUUGUACUAAAAUCUGAACAACAAUCCCUGGUAGGUUUCAGAGCACGCAAACCCAUUAAUAAAAGUGAACCACUGUCGAGACUGCACAAGUAACCUUCACAAUACACACGUUCACUACCUAGAAAGUGAAAAUAUAGUUCCAAUAAGAUUACUUUCUCUAAAGUCUUAGCUCAACGUCUCAGUUUCCCUCUUCUCACUGGUUUAAGUGAGGUUUCUCACAUCCCUAAGCAAGAAAAAAGGCCCAGUCCUAAGCUACAGAAUUUAGAUCCUCACAGUUCAUACCUAGCAUCUCCCAUUUUAGAAGCAAAAAAGGGAACUUGGUAUUUGCUGGUUCUCAUACUGCUCUCAGAUUUUGAGAAGUCUACUCUUUCCCCUAAGCCAUGUCACAAGAUAUACCAGCUUGGCAUUUGACAAAAAAGUCAUGACUUAAUCCUAGUAUUAGUCUUAUGUCAUAGGAGACAAAGUCCCGGGAAUCAGACAGAGUACCUUAACCAUGUUUAUAACCUGGACAUCAAGGUGCUCUAUGCUGAUAAGGCAGUGAUGGCCUGCUGGGUCAGUCAUAACAAAGCUAUGUUAGAGAGCAAAACAGCUUAGGACCAGGAUGCUCACCCAGACAGAGAACAAGCUGUAACUUUAUAUGCCACUGACUCAAUCAGUUUUAAACCCCGCUCCCUCCAAGGCUUAAGGACAGGGACCAAUAAAAGUCAAUUCCUGAUAAAAUAGCAUAGCACUAAGACACAGUGUGUGGUCAGGUGCUAAAAGAUGCCUCACUUAGACAACAAAAGUUAGGUUUUUUUGGAAGAAAAGAUUCCCCUCGCCCAAUCAAGGAAGGUGAAGAGUUGUCAGAUGAAGAAUGAACAAUCAGAGAGGAACUGAAGCCCAGACAAGACCAGACACCUCUUGGAAGUGAAAAACAGGACGAUGUGUUUAAAGACCUGGGAAGAUCAAGGUUCAAGCAAGUAACUAUACAAUUCUAUAUGAGAAAGAUUGCUGAUGGCCAGAAAGUACAGGUUUACAUGCAACAAAGUAGACUUUUUUGAAGGCUGAACCUGUAAAAAGGCAGCAAGGAAGUAUCUUCCCCUUGGGGGCUACACACGGUCUUCUUUAAACCCUUUACAAUAUGGCCCCAGACCAAAGUUUCAGUAAUCGCCAUAAUUCUGUACUGUCUUCUUUGUGUCCUCAUAACAAAGAUAGUAUAUUCUCUGAAAACAAGCACAGCCUCUACUACACCUUGAGGGUCUGGCAUCUACAAAUUACAUCUUUCUUCAGACUAGCCCUGAUGCCACUAGGCAGGCAGAGAGGAAGCCCGAGCCUAUGACUCUGGGAACCGCUCAGGCAAUGCAGCAAACCCCUAUCCCCAGCAAACCCUUUUACAGUUUAAAAAAUGGCAUGAAGACAGGAAAGAUUAGAGCGUUCUAGAAGGUAAAACUCAGAGAACUCAGUGGCCAGUCAGGAGGAGGAAAGCCUUAGCAAGCCAAAGGCAAUCACCACAUGCUUCCUCUGUUAUAACAACCUGCCUGGGAAACUGCACGUGGUUGAUGGCCAGUUUAAUCUUUCAACAAUCCAGACAUUAUCUGGCGGAAAACAGCAUGCUAUUUUAUGGUACUCAUUGGUAUUUACCAAUGAAGAAUAUUUAGUGACUUAAAAUUCUCAUCAUCCAGUAAUUAACAGAAUUAUAUAAAAUCAAACCUAAAACUAGUCUUUAACUGAGAAAGUUUGGCUUAUAGAUACAAUUAGUUCCAAAACCAGACUUUCCAAAUUGAUACUGAAUUAUUCACGGCUUUCUCCCCAAUACUUCAAGAAAGUCAACUGCAUACAAAGGCCUCUCUCAAGAUGGGAAAUUAAAUUUGAACAUUUCAGCUCAAACCGUAAGGAUAAAGCAGAGAUGUCUUUUCCAUCAGGAUUGAUGAAAGGACACAGACGCUGCAGCAAGUCUUUUCGGUUGUAACAGAACAGAAAAGUCAACGGCCCGAGGCUCGCUGACCCACGUGCGUGCGGAGAGAAGAGCGGCUUCACAGGCACCAGCUACACUACUUACAGAGCAGCAGCCCCGGAGAUGAUCUCUAUCAGCUCCUUCGUGAUGACGGCCUGGCGGGUGCGGUUGAAAGUCAGCGUCAAUUUAUCAAUCAUAUCAGCUGCAAACAAAAGGGACAGACAGACACCACAAUAAAACGUUUUGAAAAGA